GACGAACGCUGGCGGCGUGCUUAACACAUGCAAGUCGAACGGAAAGGCCCUGCUCUUGUUGGGUGCUCGAGUGGCGAACGGGUGAGUAAAACGCGAGUAACCUGCCCUUGACUUUGGGAUAACUUCAGGAAACUGGGGCUCAUAUCGGAUAGGAGCUCCUGCUGCAUGGUGGGGGUUGGAAAGUUUCGGCGGUUGUGGAUGGACUCGCGGCUUAUCAGCUUGUUGGUGGGGUAGUGGCUUACCAAGGCUUUGACGGGUAGCCGGCCUGAGAGGGUGACCGGCCACAUUGGGACUGAGAUACGGCCCAGACGCCUACGGGAGGCAGCAGUGGAGAAUAUUGCACAAUGGGCGGAAGCCUGAUGCAGCAACGCCGCGUGCGGGAUGACGGCCUUCGAGUUGUAAACCGCUUUCGCCUGUGACGAAGCGUGAGUGACGGUAAUGGGUAAAGAAGCACCGGCUAACUACGUG
rnacentral:rRNA from 1 species